UUCAUUAUCACCAGCACCUUCCAGGAGAUAGCAGGAAGCAAGGACACUGUUGGACAGUAUGAGAGCCACAUGGCCUUCACAAUGCCUGGAUUGUAUAGAGUUGUUCAUGGCAUUGAUGUGUUCGACCCCAAAUUCAACAUUGUGUCACCAGGAGCUGAUGUGAAUCUCUAUUUCCCAUACUCCGAAAAGGAAAAGAGAUUGACAACUUUUCACCCUGAAAUUGAAGACUUGCUGUUUAGCGAUGUUGAGAACGAAGAACACCUGUGUGUGUUGAAGGACAGGAAUAAGCCCAUCAUAUUCACCAUGGCAAGAUUGGACCGAGUGAAGAACUUAACUGGACUUGUCGAGUGGUAUGCUAAGAAUCCACGACUAAGGGAGUUGGUUAACCUUGUAGUGGUUGGUGGAGACCGAAGAAAGGAAUCCAAAGACUUGGAAGAGCAGGCAGAGAUGAAGAAGAUGUAUGAACUUAUAAAGACUCACAAUUUGAAUGGCCAGUUCCGAUGGAUUUCUU
rnacentral:misc_RNA from 1 species